UUUAUGGAGAGUUUGAUCCUGGCUCAGGAUGAACGCUGGCGGCGUGCCUAAUACAUGCAAGUCGAGCGAACGGACGAGAAGCUUGCUUCUCUGAUGUUAGCGGCGGACGGGUGAGUAACACGUGGAUAACCUACCUAUAAGACUGGGAUAACUUCGGGAAACCGUAGCUAAUACCGGAUAAUAUUUUGAACCGCAUGGUUCAAAAGUGAAAGACGGUCUUGCUGUCACUUAUAGAUGGAUCCGCGCUGCAUUAGCUAGUUGGUAAGGUAACGGCUUACCAAGGCAACGAUGCAUAGCCGACCUGAGAGGGUGAUCGGCCACACUGGAACUGAGACACGGUCCAGACUCCUACGGGAGGCAGCAGUAGGGAAUCUUCCGCAAUGGGCGAAAGCCUGACGGAGCAACGCCGCGUGAGUGAUGAAGGUCUUCGGAUCGUAAAACUCUGUUAUUAGGGAAGAACAUAUGUGUAAGUAACUGUGCACAUCUUGACGGUACCUAAUCAGAAAGCCACGGCUAACUACGUGCCAGCAGCCGCGGUAAUACGUAGGUGGCAAGCGUUAUCCGGAAUUAUUGGGCGUAAAGCGCGCGUAGGCGGUUUUUUAAGUCUGAUGUGAAAGCCCACGGCUCAACCGUGGAGGGUCAUUGGAAACUGGAAAACUUGAGUGCAGAAGAGGAAAGUGGAAUUCCAUGUGUAGCGGUGAAAUGCGCAGAGAUAUGGAGGAACACCAGUGGCGUAGGCGUCUUUCUGGUCUGUAACUGACGCUGAUCUGCGAAAGCGUGUUGAUCCAACAGGACUAGAUACCCUGGUAGUCCACGCCGCAAACGAUCAGAGUUAAGAGUUCGGGGGUUUCCGCCCCUUAGUGCUGCUGCUAACGCAUUAAGCACUCCGCCUGGGGAGUACGACCGCAAGGUUGAAACUCAAAGGAAUUGACGGGGACCCGCACAAGCGGUGGAGCAUGUGGUUUAAUUCGAAGCAACGCGAAGAACCUUACCAAAUCUUGACAUCCUUUGACAACUCUAGAGAGAGAGCCUUCCCCUUCGGGGGACAAAGUGACAGGUGGUGCAUGGUUGUCGUCAGCUCGUGUCGUGAGAUGUUGGGUUAAGUCCCGCAACGAGCGCAACCCUUAAGCUUAGUUGCCAUCAUUAAGUUGGGCACUCUAAGUUGACUGCCGGUGACAAAGCGGAGGAAGGUGGGGAUGACGUCAAAUCAUCAUGCCCCUUAUGAUUUGGGCUACACACGUGCUACAAUGGACAAUACAAAGGGCAGCGAAACCGCGAGGUCAAGCAAAUCCCAUAAAGUUGUUCUCAGUUCGGAUUGUAGUCUGCAACUCGACUACAUGAAGCUGGAAUCGCUAGUAAUCGUAGAUCAGCAUGCUACGGUGAAUACGUUCCCGGGUCUUGUACACACCGCCCGUCACACCACGAGAGUUUGUAACACCCGAAGCCGGUGGAGUAACCUUUUAGGAGCUAGCCGUCGAAGGUGGGACAAAUGAUUGGGGUGAAGUCGUAACAAGGUAGCCGUAUCGGAAGGUGCGGCUGGAUCACCUCCUUUCU
rnacentral:rRNA from 2 species